rnacentral:rRNA from 1 species
UACGGAGGAUGCGAGAGUUAUCCGGAUUUAUUGGGUUUAAAGGGUGCGUAGGCGGACUGUCAAGUCAGCGGUAAAAUACGGGGGCUCAACCCCGGCGAGCCGUUGAAACUGGCUGUCUUGAGAUGUCGAGAGGUAUGCGGAAUGCGCAGUGUAGCGGUGAAAUGCUUAGAUAUUGCGCAGAACUCCGAUUGCGAAGGCAGCAUGCCGGCUCCACACUGACACUGAGGCUCGAAAGUGUGGGUAUCAAACAGG